UACGUAGGGUGCGAGCGUUAAUCGGAAUUACUGGGCGUAAAGCGUGCGUAGGCGGUUCGUUAAGUUCGUUGUGAAAGCCCCGGGCUCCAACCUGGGAAUUGCAUUCGAGACUGAAUAGCUAGGGUACGGUAGAGGGAAGCGGAAUUUCCGGUGUAGCGGUGAAAUGCGUAGAUAUCGGAAGGAACAUCAGUGGCGAAAGCGGCUUCCUGG
rnacentral:rRNA from 1 species